rnacentral:rRNA from 1 species
AGUGAACGCUGGCGGUAGGCCUAACACAUGCAAGUCGAACGGCAGCACAGUAAGAGCUUGCUCUUACGGGUGGCGAGUGGCGGACGGGUGAGGAAUACAUCGGGAUCUACUUUUUCGUGGGGGAUAACGUAGGGAAACUUACGCUAAUACCGCAUACGACCUACGGGUGAAAGCAGGGGAUCUUCGGACCUUGCGCGAUUGAAUGAGCCGAUGUCGGAUUAGCUAGUUGGCGGGGUAAAGGCCCACCAAGGCGACGAUCCGUAGCUGGUCUGAGAGGAUGAUCAGCCACACUGGAACUGAGACACGGCCCAGACUCCUACGGGAGGCAGCAGUGGGGAAUAUUGGACAAUGGGCGCAAGCCUGAUCCAGCCAUACCGCGUGGGUGAAGAAGGCCUUCGGGUUGUAAAGCCCUUUUGUUGGGAAAGAAAAGCAGCAGGUUAAUACCCCGCUGUUCUGACGGUACCCAAAGAAUAAGCACCGGCUAACUUCGUG